UACAGAGGCCUCGAGCGUUAGGCGGAAUCACUGGGCUUAAAGCGUGUGUAGGCGGAUUGGUAAAUACCUUGUGAAAUCCCACAGCUUAACUGUGGAACUGCUCGGUAUACUGCUGAUCUUGAGCCACUCAGGGGCUACCGGAACAAUGGUGGAAGCGGUGAAAUGCGUAGAUAUCAUUUGGAACGCCAAUGGUGAAAACAGGUAGCUGGGGGUGUGCUGACGCUGAGACACGAAAGCCAGGGGAGCAAACGGGG
rnacentral:rRNA from 1 species